rnacentral:rRNA from 1 species
CAGUAGCCGCGGUAAUACGGAGGGUGCAAGCGUUAAUCGGAAUUACUGGGCGUAAAGCGCACGCAGGCGGUCUGACAAGUCAGAUGUGAAAUCCCCGGGCUUAACCUGGGAACUGCAUUUGAAACUGUCAGGCUGGAGUCUUGUAGAGGGGGGUGGAAUUCCAGGUGUAGCGGUGAAAUGCGUAGAGAUCUGGAGGAAUACCGGUGGCGAAGGCGGCCCCCUGGACAAAGACUGACGCUCAGGUGCGAAAGCGUGGGGAGCAAACAGGAUUAGAUACCCGCGUAGUCCCUGUCUCUUAUAU